rnacentral:rRNA from 1 species
AGCCGCGGUAAUACGGAGGAUCCGAGCGUUAUCCGGAUUUAUUGGGUUUAAAGGGUGCGUAGGCGGCCUUUUAAGUCAGCGGUGAAAGUCUGUGGCUCAACCAUAGAAUUGCCGUUGAAACUGGGGGGCUUGAGUAUGUUUGAGGCAGGCGGAAUGCGUGGUGUAGCGGUGAAAUGCUUAGAUAUCACGCAGAACCCCGAUUGCGAAGGCAGCCUGCCAAGCCAUGACUGACGCUGAUGCACGAAAGCGUGGGGAUCAAACAGGAUUAGAUACCCUGGUAGUCCACGCAGUAAACGAUGAUCACUAGCUGUUUGCGAUACAGUGUAAGCGGCACAGCGAAAGCGUUAAGUGAUCCACCUGGGGAGUACGCCGGCAACGGUGAAACUCAAAGGAAUUGACGGGGGCCCGCACAAGCGGAGGAACAUGUGGUUUAAUUCGAUGAUACGCGAGGAACCUUACCCGGGCUUAAAUUGCAGAUGAAUUACGGUGAAAGCCGUAAGCCGCAAGGCAUCUGUGAAGGUGCUGCAUGGUUGUCGUCAGCUCGUGCCGUGAGGUGUCGGCUUAAGUGCCAUAACGAGCGCAACCCUUGCCACUAGUUACUAACAGGUGAUGCUGAGGACUCUGGUGGGACUGCCAGCGUAAGCUGCGAGGAAGGCGGGGAUGACGUCAAAUCAGCACGGCCCUUACAUCCGGGGCGACACACGUGUUACAAUGGCGUGGACAAAGGGAAGCCACCUGGCGACAGGGAGCGAAUCCCCAAACCACGUCUCAGUUCGGAUCGGAGUCUGCAACCCGACUCCGUGAAGCUGGAUUCGCUAGUAAUCGCGCAUCAGCCAUGGCGCGGUGAAUACGUUCCCGGGCCUUGUACACACCGCCCGUCAAGCCAUGGGAGCCGGGGGUACCUGAAGUGCGUAACCGCGAGGAGCGCCCUAGGGUAAAACUGGUGACUGGGGCUAAGUCGUAACAAGGUAGCCGUACCGGAAGGUGCGGCUG